rnacentral:rRNA from 1 species
AGAGACAGCAGAGCCACGGGAAUACAGAGGGUGCGAGCGUUAAUCGGAUUUACUGGGCGUAAAGCGUGCGUAAGCGGCUUUUUAAGUCGGAUGUGAAAUCCCUGAGCUUAACUUAGGAAUUGCAUUCGAUACUGGGAAGCUAGAGUAUGGGAGAGGAUGGUAGAAUUCCAGGUGUAGCGGUGAAAUGCGUAGAGAUCUGGAGGAAUACCGAUGGCGAAGGCAGCCAUCUGGCCUAAUACUGACGCUGAGGUACGAAAGCAUGGGGAGCAAACAGGAUUAGAUACCCGAGUAGUCCCUGUCUCUUAUACC